GAACUACUCCCUCCGUCCGAAAAUACUUGUCCCAAAAAUAAAUAUAAUUGAUGUAUCUAUAACUAAAAUAAGUCUAGAUACAUUCAUCUCUAGGACAAGUAUUUUUCGGAUGGAGGAAUAUAAU
rfam:Hordeum vulgare subsp. vulgare, WGS project CAJW01000000 data, contig: morex_contig_51649